CCUCACUUUCAGAUGGAUCUGAUUUUCUUCUCUCUAACCUUCUUGUUCUCUCUGUCGAAGAAGUUUGCAGAGGAUCUGAAGGAGUCAAUCGAAGGAUCUAAAUAAGUAAUAUUUUCAGGUUUGGGUGUUUGCGUGGCCUGUCCUGGUGGUAUCAUAUGGUUUUAAAUCUACUGGAUUAUCUUCAUCCAAGCGUGCACCUUUAAAAGUUGUUGAAAAGCUUGAUGGGAUAACACUGCUUUGUCAUCCAGCUCUCCAGAGGCCCUUUCUUCCAAUUGUAGUCUCUCCUAAGUCUUAUCUGCAACAGCUGUCGCUGAAGAUGAUUUUGAUGACUUUGAUCCCCGAGAAAACUUCAACUGCUAAAGGAUUCUUUUCAGGCCACCUCUGGAGUUUGGGCAAAUACACUAAGUCGUGGGUUGAUCGAUCUCAAUAUAUUAUCUGUUAUUUUGGCUAGAGGGAGUCUGGAACAGUCUAGAAGUCGCAGCCCCCAUCGAAGUUCCAGGUCUCGUGACGAGCAUUGGGGUCGGGAAAGUAGAAGGAGAAGUCGUAGUAAGAGCCGCAGUUUAAGUCCUGAUUACCGAUGGUGGUGUUCGAAGUCAGUAUGAACAAGAAUGCAGGAGAAGCAUAAGCAAAUCAGGCGGCAGGCAGUAUGAUGUAUUUUCAAAUGUUGUUGUAGAUAGUGGUGAAAACUGGGUUCUUUUCGAACUUGUGAAGAUGCAAGCAGCAAUACACCCUAGCAUGAUGAUGAUGAUGAUGAAGAAGGAUUUAUUUUUGUCAGCUGGCAAGGAGACAAGAGGCUGGUGAAAAGAAAGAAAAUCCCAAGAAAGCAUUUUAGGUCAAGUAACGAAGCAUAUGUCGAAGACCCGGAAGAUGCAGCUGAAGAGGAAAAACAAGCUUUUUCAAAAUAAGAAUGACAUGGCAACGUGGGAAGAACACAACCUCGGAAAAAAAAAAUUCUCGUUCUAGAGUUUAACUGUAACUUUUGGUGAUGUAAAUGGCACAUGCCACAUGCUAUACUUCUUUCACUUCGAGGAAGAUGGGAGGUGAUCGGAACGAUAUAUAUCCUUCACAAGCAUUUCCAUUAAUUGAUAAGUUACUGGUGUCCUACUUUACAAGACGACCACACAUGAAGAUUACUUCACAAGUACACCAUUAUGAAGUAGGAAUAAGUUCUUCACCAUCGUCGGAGUUUAUAAUUUUGUUGUUUAAUCAAUAGUUUUUUAGUUCAUCGUUUUGUAAUCGAAUCCUAGAACUACAGAUUACACUGGUCAGAACUACAUAUUUUAAUCCUUUGUUUAAUUUAAA